rnacentral:rRNA from 1 species
UACGGGGGGGGCAAGCGUUGUUCGGAAUUACUGGGCGUAAAGGGCUCGUAGGCGGCCAACUAAGUCGGACGUGAAAUCCCCAGGCUCAACCUGGGAACUGCGUCCGAUACUGGAUGGCUUGAAUCCGGGAGAGGGAUGCAGAAUUCCAGGUGUAGCGGUGGAAUGCGUAGAGAUCGGGAAGAACAUCAGUGGCGAAGGCGGCCUGCUGGGCUGUUGCUGACGCUGAGGCG